rnacentral:lncRNA from 1 species
UUCCAGCUUGCCUCAUGACACGGAUGAGACAUAAGGAUGAGUUCCCCUCAGACCAAUGAGUAUGGGGAAUGGUGCGUCUCGAGAACGGACAAUGAAUUCUCCUAUUGGGAACCACUCAAACAUCUACUGAACUUGCUCUUCUUUUAGAUUUUUCAACAACUCUACCCAUCCGCUGGCGUCCUCUGGCUGAGCGAACAUGUUGGGCAUGAAGUUCAUUCUCUUUGGGUGAUGAAAAGCGACAUGGUCAUCCCAAUCCCUGCGUAUGAUUUCCUAUCUAUUGUCGCCUUUCUGAAGGUGUUCUAUGAGCCAAAUUUGAAGUAGCAGAUUACAACCCUCGAAAUGCGGAGCCCCUUGCUGAC